rnacentral:rRNA from 1 species
GCAUCUAUACGGUGAAACUGCGAAUGGCUCAUUAAAUCAGUUAUCGUUUAUUUGAUAGUACCUUACUACUUGGAUAACCGUGGUAAUUCUAGAGCUAAUACAUGCUAAAAACCCCGACUUCCGAAGGGGUGUAUUUAUUAGAUAAAAAACCAAUGCCCUUCGGGGCUCCUUGGUGAUUCAUAAUAACUUAACGAAUCGCAUGGCCUUGUGCCGGCGAUGGUUCAUUCAAAUUUCUGCCCUAUCAACUUUCGAUGGUAGAGUAGUGGUCUACCAUGGUUUCAACGGGUAACGGGGAAUUAGGGUUCGAUUCCGGAGAGGGAGCCUGAGAAACGGCUACCACAUCCAAGGAAGGCAGCAGGCGCGCGAAUUACCCAAUCCCGACACGGGGUGGUAGUGACAAUAAAUAACAAGCCAGGGCCCAUAUGGGUUUUGGCAUUGGAAUGAGUACAAUGUAAACACCUUAACGAGGAACAAUUGGAGGACAAGUCUGGUGCCAGCACCCGCGGUAAUUCCAGCUCCAAUAGCGUAUAUUAAAGUUGUUGCAGUUAAAAAGCUCGUAGUUGAAAUUGGGCGCGGCUGACCGGCCCGCCUCACGGCGUGAACUGGUCUCGGCCGUGCUUUCCUCUUGGGUCGCCCGAGAGCGCUUGAUUGUGCGCUCGGGAUGACCCAGGACUCUUACUUUGAAAAAAUUAGAGUGUUCAAAGCAGGCAUUUGCUCGGAUACAUUUAGCAUGGAAUAA